GAUGAACGCUGGCGGUGUGCCUUAGGCAUGCAAAUCGAGCGACGACCCUUUUAGGGUACGGAGCGGUGGACGGGUGAGUAACGCGUAGGAAUCUACCUCUUGGAGGAGAAUAGCCAGCCGAAAGGCUGGGUAAUACUGCAUAAGAUCUUCGGAUGAAAGGGCGUAACUGCCCGCCGAGAGAGGAGCCUGCGUGCUAUCAGCUUGUUGGUGGGGUAAUGGCCUACCAAGGCGAUGACGGCUAGGGGGCGUGAGAGCGCGGCCCCCCACAAGGUCACUGAGAAACGGGGCCUACACCUACGGGUGGCAGCAACCGGGAAUAUUGCGCAAUGGACGAAAGUCUGACGCAGCGACACCGCGUGUGGGAAGACGCCUCUUGGGGUGUAAACCACUGUGGCAGGGGAAGAAGUUCUGACGGUACCCUGCUAGAAAGCACCUGCUAACUACG
rnacentral:rRNA from 1 species